CACGGGGGGAGCAAGCGUUGUUCGGAAUCACUGGGCGUAAAGGGCGUGUAGGCGGUCAGGUAAGUGGAAUGUGAAAGCCCUCGGCUCACCCGAGGAUCGGCAUCCCAAACUGCCUGGCUUGAGUAUGGGAGAGGACAGGGGAAUUCCUGGUGUAGCGGUGAAAUGCGUAGAUAUCAGGAGGAACACCGGUGGCGAAAGCGCUCUGCUACGCCGCAACUGACACUGAGGGACGAAAGCUAGGGGAGCGAAUGGG
rnacentral:rRNA from 1 species